CCACUUUAUUAUUCCUUUUUAAGAAACACUUCCACACAGUUCCUCCUGUAAAAAAAAAGAUAGGCGAGGUGCUACUCUGCUGUUGAAUUUUCAUGGUAGUCAUCAUUGAUUGUUUCAGUUCAAACCUUCAUAGGGCAGCAUCACCCCAAGAUCAUUCGUUUGGAUUUGGGCAGGGCAAUACCGGGGACAAAGUUUAGUUUUAACUAAUUUUUAUGAGUAUUUCUUGAACCAUAAAGCUCAGGAUGUGACCUUUCAAUCUUCUAACGCUAAAGAAACAGG